GAUGUCGAUUUGGAGGUUGUGCCCUUGAGGCGUGGCUUCCGGAGCUAACGCGUUAAAUCGACCGCCUGGGGAGUACGGCCGCAAGGUUAAAACUCAAAUGAAUUGACGGGGGCCCGCACAAGCGGUGGAGCAUGUGGUUUAAUUCGAUGCAACGCGAAGAACCUUACCUACUCUUGACAUCCACGGAACUUGCCAGAGAUGGCUUGGUGCCUUCGGGAACCGUGAGACAGGUGCUGCAUGGCUGUCGUCAGCUCGUGUUGUGAAAUGUUGGGUUAAGUCCCGCAACGAGCGCAACCCUUAUCCUUUGUUGCCAGCGGUUCGGCCGGGAACUCAAAGGAGACUGCCAGUGAUAAACUGGAGGAAGGUGGGGAUGACGUCAAGUCAUCAUGGCCCUUACGAGUAGGGCUACACACGUGCUACAAUGGCGUAUACAAAGAGAAGCGAACUUGCGAGAGUAAGCGGACCUCAUAAAGUACGUCGUAGUCCGGAUUGGAGUCUGCAACUCGACUCCAUGAAGUCGGAAUCGCUAGUAAUCGUAGAUCAGAAUGCUACGGUGAAUACGUUCCCGGGCCUUGUACACACCGCCCGUCACACCAUGGGAGUGGGUUGCAAAAGAAGUAGGUAGCUUAACCUUCGGGAGGGCGCUUACCACUUUGUGAUUCAUGACUGGGGUGAAGUCGUAA
rnacentral:rRNA from 1 species